GGCGCCCACUGCUUGCUGGAACCUGUACGUUCGCAGAACACGCCCGUUCUUGCAAUCAAACAAGAUGGAGCCCUCUGUUCUUGGUUAGGGUUGAGAGAGAGAGAGAGAGAUGCGGCUAGGUGGUGGGUUGCUGAGAGGGUUGGGAGGCCUUCCAUGGCGGACGAUCACCUGGGAGGCGCUAGACAGGGCCUUCUUCGUCGCCAAGUUCCUCUGCUGCCUCCACGUCGCCAACACCUACGUCGGUGGCCUCGCCCUGGUUUAUGGGCCUAGCAUGCUGCCCACCAUCAAUUUAACGGGCGAUAUUCUUCUGGUUGAGAAGAUAUCUGUUAGGUUGGAGAAGAUUAAGCGCGGGGACAUCGUUCUCGUUCGUUCUCCUGAGAACCCAAGAAAGAUCGUCACCAAGAGAAUAACGGGGCUAGAGGGGGAUGAGGUCACUUUUCUUGCCACCAACAUUGGCGAUCAUGGCAGCCGGACUGUUACUGUGCCAAAGGGACAUGUAUGGAUUCAAGGUGACAACUUAUAUGCUUCAAAUGAUUCAAGGCAUUUUGGCUCAGUUCCAUAUGGCCUUGUUACUGGAAGGGUGUUUUGCCGGAUAUGGCCAGUUGAUGGCUUUGGAUCAUUGGGACAAGGAGAUUAGUGAGGGUCAUAUCUCAAAGUGAAUAUGGCCUCUUUCCACCCACAAGUCCAAGGAGCUGGGAAUGAUGUGCCUAUGCUGUGGUGUGCCGAUUCUUUAGUGAUUUUGAUAUUAUCUCAGCAGUUAAUCUUAGAACAACAUGACUAAAGCUCAAUGCAAUUAUUUGCUUCUUUCUCUACAUUGAUCUUCAAGGAGGUUGGUGGUUUUCAGCUCCAAACGGGGAAGAAAGAAAGGGAGCUGCCUACUUUGGGACCUCAUCUGGGGCCCAGUUAAUCAUAACCCGUGGAGGCUUUAGUCACCAUCCUGAACUUGACCUGCAUUUGGUGCUAAAUGACACCCUCACAUCUUUUGUGCCUGAGUUGGUAUGAUUUCAUGUUGCCAAUCAUCUCAAAUCUUUAUCUUGUUCAAGUCUUGAUACUGGACUUGCUACUGUCAUUCUCCUGAAUUUUCUCCAACCAACCGAAGAGUUUAGUAGUCAGGUUGGCUUGGUUCCUCCCAUUGAUUUCUGUAUGACCUGAACGUGGCUGCUUUAGAUGCUAGCUUUACUAAGUCUAGCAUGACAGUUUAUUAAUUGCAAGCUUCUUUACAGUCAUAAAUGUGAUUUAAAUUUGUUUGUGGGAGCCCUUA